rnacentral:rRNA from 1 species
GGAUCCAGACUUUGAUCAUGGCUCAGGAUGAACGCUAGCUACAGGCUUAACACAUGCAAGUCGAGGGGCAGCAUGAACUUAGCUUGCUAAGUUUGAUGGCGACCGGCGCACGGGUGAGUAACACGUAUCCAACCUUCCGUUUACUCAGGGAUAGCCUUUCGAAAGAAAGAUUAAUACCUGAUAGUAUGGUGAGAUUGCAUGAUAGCACCAUUAAAGAUUUAUUGGUAAACGAUGGGGAUGCGUUCCAUUAGGUAGUAGGCGGGGUAACGGCCCACCUAGCCGACGAUGGAUAGGGGUUCUGAGAGGAAGGUCCCCCACAUUGGAACUGAGACACGGUCCAAACUCCUACGGGAGGCAGCAGUGAGGAAUAUUGGUCAAUGGGCGAGAGCCUGAACCAGCCAAGUAGCGUGAAGGAUGAAGGUCCUACGGAUUGUAAACUUCUUUUAUACGGGAAUAAAGUAUCCUACGUGUAGGAUUUUGUAUGUACCGUAUGAAUAAGCAUCGGCUAACUCCGUGCCAGCAGCCGCGGUAAUACGGAGGAUGCGAGCGUUAUCCGGAUUUAUUGGGUUUAAAGGGAGCGCAGACGGGAGAUUAAGUCAGUUGUGAAAGUUUGCGGCUCAACCGUAAAAUUGCAGUUGAUACUGGUUUCCUUGAGUGCAGUUGAGGCAGGCGGAAUUCGUGGUGUAGCGGUGAAAUGCUUAGAUAUCACGAAGAACCCCGAUUGCGAAGGCAGCUUGCUAAACUGUAACUGACGUUCAUGCUCGAAAGUGUGGGUAUCAAACAGGAUUAGAUACCCUGGUAGUCCACACGGUAAACGAUGGAUACUCGCUGUUGGCGAUAUACUGUCAGCGGCCAAGCGAAAGCAUUAAGUAUCCCACCUGGGGAGUACGCCGGCAACGGUGCAACUCAAAGGAAUUGACGG